GACUUAAUACUUUAAAUUAAAAGAUCUGAUUUGCAUUCAGAAAAUAAGUUGAAUUUACUUUUAGGUCA
rnacentral:tRNA from 1 species